GACACAGCUCCAGAGAACUGAGACACUGAGAAGGCAGUGAACAGAACCCCAAGCACACAGUGUGGCUCCAAGUCCUAUUCUGAUGACACCACAGCCCCUCCUGGACCUGGGCAAGUGCCACACAAAGAAGAGGGACCAUGGCUCCAAGCUAGGGUCAGGCAGCCAGGCGAGCAGUGGGCUGAUCAAAGUUCCUCAGAUGUCUACUCCCAGCUCUUCUCUGGGGGAUGGACAUGACUCAUGGCAUUGGGCUAGUACUGCUCAUAUCUCUUCUCACAAAAACACAGGCCAAUAACAGCAGGACAAGCAGGCCACUGGCCUCCGAUAUUGUGAGAAAGAGCUGCCCACAAAUCCCCAGCACCAUUGUCAGAAACACAGUUCUUUCCUUCACUGAAAGAAAAUUGCUGAACUGACAGCCCGAUACCCCUCAUGGUGACAAGCCAGCUUCUGCAAUGCAGAUGAUAACAGUGCUCUAGGUGAUAACAGAGUGACAAAAUGGAAGGAAACUGGUCCCUAAAUGACCCCAAGGGCAGAAUCACUCAACAGACAUAGACCACAGAUAACAGGCUGUCACAUGAACAAUAAAU